rnacentral:rRNA from 1 species
UACAGAGGGUGCAAGCGUUGUUCGGAUUUAUUGGGCGUAAAGGGUGCGUAGGCGGUGCCGCAAGUCACCUGUGAAAUCUCCGGGCUUAACCCGGAGCCUGCAGGCGAAACUGUGGUGCUGGAGUGUGGGAGAGGUGAGUGGAAUUCCCGGUGUAGCGGUGGAAUGCGCAGAUAUCAGGAGGAACACCUAUAGCGAAGGCAGCUCGCUGGGACGACACUGACGCUGAGACGCGAAAGCGUGGGGAGCAAACAGG